GGGAGGGGCGGGGUCCUCGGAUUGCUGACCAGUGCACCCGCAUUCCAUAGAGAGUAAACAAACGUGAGCGAGCCUGCGUGCCUUCCCUGCCAGACUGUGUGGAGAGAACGGGAGCAGCAGAAGUUCAGUGUUGCAGCUGGGUAAUUAAUGUCACUGCUGGCACGGCUUCUCCCUGCUGACUCGCCUGCCUGACCUCCCAGCGCAGCACAGUAUCAGUCCUUGAUGCUAUCACAGUCCUGCUGAGCCAAACUUACAACUAAAUGGUUAAACGUUAACUGAAGCCAGGGGUGGGGGAUGGAGAGCCAGACUCGUGUUUCCAUGAAGACAAAGAAGGGAGCCUGUACUGUGUGAUAUAAAGUUCAGGUGCUUAUUGGCCAUAUAGCCAAAGAUCUCAACAAAUGCUAGCAGAUAAUGGUAUUGUAAGACUCUGAAGAUCAGCAUAAGAAAGAGCUUUCUUCUAACAAUUAGCGCUGUCCAACAAUGGGAAAGGUUGUUCUACAGAGGCCAGGCAUGAAUGGUGACCAGCUCCUAAUGGCCAAAAGCCUUUGAUCACAGGCUGAAGUCCAAAGGGUUUAAGCCAACAAGGUGAGCAUGUUGGAUCACGAGUCUUACGCAGGGGGUCAGGUGGCAAGCCAUGGAAACCCCACAUUCUGACAGAAGCUCAAGCUCUUGUUCUCUUCUGUAAGGUGUGAACAAAGACAGGAAAGAAAAGUCUAGAAUGGAGAUGAUGAAUCCAGUUUCAUGGAGAUAUUUAUGAACCACUGAAGUGUUUCCUUUCUUCAAAGGCCCUAUCUAAAUGCCACUUAUUCCAUGAAGUCUUUCCUGUUGUCUUUCUCCAAUUAAACAAAUGUUCUUUUUUCCUCCCCAAGCUUCUCAUGGAUAUUACCUGAAUCUUUACUCUGAACUCAUUACACUCUCCAUUAUGUUGCGGUUAUUUCUUUUUUCUCUCCCAGUGAAUUAUAAUUUCUUUGGGACUAUGAUAUGAGCAAUAACUUUUUAUUUGAACCCUGAAUAUUUAACAGUGGCUUAAAUAGCAUAACUCUUUUUAAUGAAUUCGUGCUGGAUUUAC